rnacentral:rRNA from 1 species
AGUGAACGCUGGCGGUAGGCCUAACACAUGCAAGUCGAACGGCAGCACAGUAAGAGCUUGCUCUUACGGGUGGCGAGUGGCGGACGGGUGAGGAAUACAUCGGAAUCUACUUUUUCGUGGGGGAUAACGUAGGGAAACUUACGCUAAUACCGCAUACGACCUACGGGUGAAAGCAGGGGAUCUUCAGACCUUGCGCGAUUGAAUGAGCCGAUGUCGGAUUAGCUAGUUGGCGGAGUAAAGGCCCACCAAGGCGACGAUCCGUAGCUGGUCUGAGAGGAUGAUCAGCCACACUGGAACUGAGACACGGUCCAGACUCCUACGGGAGGCAGCAGUGGGGAAUAUUGGACAAUGGGCGCAAGCCUGAUCCAGCCAUACCGCGUGGGUGAAGAAGGCCUUCGGGUUGUAAAGCCCUUUUGUUGGGAAAGAAAAGCAGCAGGUUAAUACCCCGCUGUUCUGACGGUACCCAAAGAAUAAGCACCGGCUAACUUCGUG